GCAAAGAAAAAGCCAGUCUUCAUAUUGGCCUUUAGGGCUCCACCCUCAGCACCCUGCCUCAUCUCGUACUGCUCCCUCCUUCCCUCCUGCCACUGAGCCACAUGGACCCUUGGUGCUCCCUGGGGGAGGCAGAGGCACUAAUGAAUCAGGCAAGAACCAAACAUGAACUGCAGGGACCCCACAGCUAGUCCAGUCUCUGACAUCUCUGUUGGAUUUCCACGGGAACAGUAAAUCAUCUCUAUUACUUUGGCAGCUGGCACCUCCUCUCAGUCCUGCAAGAGUGCUAAGCUGCUAACCUGAAACCCAAGGCACAAGGAGAGCGUCCGGAUUCUCUCGUGCCUGGACGGACACUGGGCCUUUGGGAAGGAAGGCCUCUGGAAGCAGAGACCAAUGUGAAAGGGACUGUGUGAGCGCUGCACUGUGGAUGGAGACUGACAGCUUUGCAGUGGUGAGAAAAUGACUCAGAAACCAGUCAGGACAAUAUCUGCUUGGGCUAGUCCUUCCAAUUAAUUUAUGUUCUUAUGGUUAACUCACUGCACUCACAGUGCAGAAACCUGGCAAACACAUCUGAUGAAAGCUAACAUCUGCCCAGUGACGACAUGUGGCCCCUGAUAGGAUGUGAGAAGAGGACACCUUCACCUCCGGGGUGUUCUUUCCAAACCCAACGCCAGUCUAACCUUGAGAAGAACACCGGGCAAACCCGGACUGGGCUCGGUCAGGGUCACGGACAGCAAGGCCAGACUGAGAAACUGUCCAGAGGCGGCUGAAUAAAUGUGGUGUCCUGGA